ACUCAAAUAGUCAGGUGGCCAAGACGCUUUGAAAUUACAAGUGGGCGGGGGUUCGAUUUCUCCUUUGGGUG